UCCACAGUGAAUCUAGAUCUUUCUUUGACUGCCACUUCUCUGAGUCUCUCUACAGUCUACACUCACUCGCUAUGUACUGGUUCUCCGUCAUCUCUCAAACCUACCAUGUAGAUGCUAUUAGUGUAUAAUCGAUUUCUUUAGUGAUUUUCUGCGAUCUUUGUUCUUAAAUCGCUUUGUUCUUUGUUCAUCUUACCUACGCGACGGUGUUAUCGGUGUUAAUAAGGACUCUGCGAUUUUCAUUUCGGUGAUUUGGUUCACAAAGAUGACUGUGAUUUCAAGAUCGGUGUUCUCGGUCUAUCCGUGUUACCAAGAUCACUACGAUUCCCAGAUCGAUGUUCUCAGUCAAGGGAUAUUCAACUGAGAUCUGUACCUGGUUUUUCGAAAUGGAAAUCGCAGGCAUUUUCUCUUUUUUUUUACUGUUUCUAAGGUUUCAAUUGACGAUCGAUGUUAAUGUUAGAUCUCGGUUUUCUAUGUUACUGCCUAUCAUUUUUUUUUUCUAACAGUGUUCUUGCAGACAGCGAUUUUGCAGCUAAUGUACUCCGAAGAACUGGUUGAGAUAUGCUGAAAACUCAUUUUGUUAUCAUACAUGAAUCAGUGUGAGAGUUUCUUUGACAUUAUUUCCAAUUUAGAGUUUUUCAGCAUACACUGAAAUAAUUAGAGUUUAGUAACCAUAAUUGAAAGGAUUGAAAUUAGGUAUGAAUUUUUAAUGCUAAAUUUUUCGGAUUCAUUCAAUGCCACACCCAUAUACAUAGAAGACACACACACAAAAAAAAAAAAAAAAAAAAAAAAAAAAAAAAACAGAUUAUAUCAUAAAACAAACAAUACAGAAAUGGUAAACUGAAUUUACUUCAUCGUGAAAUAAACAUUCUUUACUUUUCAUUUUUUCGCCUGCCCUAACUUUUGUUUCUUCAUAUGUUCUAACUAAUCUAACCCUUAUUGCUCUUUUGGUGUGUAGUUGAAUGAUAUCCUUGGCUUAUUGAGAAGACAUUUUUGGUGCGGAGUGUUAUUCAUUGUCGAUUCAGAGACUCUAGAAAUCAUUCGACCUCUUUAUAUAGAGGAUGAAUUGCAUCAGGAGCCUUAUAGAAAAACGAAAAGGCAAGCUUUGGAACAAUGAAGCAUCAGAUUACGUUAUUUAAUUAGAUGUCUUCAAUUAGAUGUCAAUCACUUUAAUUAGAUGUCAAUCACUUCAAAUUUGUAAUUAAAAAAUUGCAAACGAUUCGUUUUCCCAUAUUUAUUCGAAUAUUGUGCUUUUUAUUAA